ACUCUGGGAUAAGCGCUGGAAACGGCGUCUAAUACUGGAUAUGUGACGUGACCGCAUGGUCUGCGUCUGGAAAGAAUUUCGGUUGGGGAUGGGCUCGCGGCCUAUCAGCUUGUUGGUGAGGUAAUGGCUCACCAAGGCGUCGACGGGUAGCCGGCCUGAGAGGGUGACCGGCCACACUGGGACUGAGACACGGCCCAGACUCCUACGGGAGGCAGCAGUGGGGAAUAUUGCACAAUGGGCGCAAGCCUGAUGCAGCAACGCCGCGUGAGGGACGACGGCCUUCGGGUUGUAAACCUCUUUUAGCAGGGAAGAAGCGAAAGUGACGGUACCUGCAGAAAAAGCGCCGGCUAACUACGUGCCAGCAGCCGCGGUAAUACGUAGGGCGCAAGCGUUAUCCGGAAUUAUUGGGCGUAAAGAGCUCGUAGGCGGUUUGUCGCGUCUGCUGUGAAAUCCGGAGGCUCAACCUCCGGCCUGCAGUGGGUACGGGCAGACUAGAGUGCGGUAGGGGAGAUUGGAAUUCCUGGUGUAGCGGUGGAAUGCGCAGAUAUCAGGAGGAACACCGAUGGCGAAGGCAGAUCUCUGGGCCGUAACUGACGCUGAGGAGCGAAAGGGUGGGGAGCAAACAGGCUUAGAUACCCUGGUAGUCCACCCCGUAAACGUUGGGAACUAGUUGUGGGGUCCAUUCCACGGAUUCCGUGACGCAGCUAACGCAUUAAGUUCCCCGCCUGGGGGAGUACGGCCGCAAGGCUAAAACUCAA
rnacentral:rRNA from 1 species